UACGUAGGUGGCAAGCGUUAUCCGGAAUUAUUGGGCGUAAAGCGCGCGCAGGUGGUUUCUUAAGUCUGAUGUGAAAGCCCCCGGCUCAACUGGGGAGGGUCAUUCGAUACUGAUCGACUCGAAGGCAGGAGAGGGUAGUGGAAUUCCCGGUGUAGUGGUGAAAUGCGUAGAUAUCGGGAGGAACACCAGUGGCGAAGGCGACUACCUGGCCUGUUCUUGACGCUGAGGCGCGAAAGCUAGGGGAGCAAACGGG
rnacentral:rRNA from 1 species